UACUAACGAACCUUUCAAUUUAUUUAAUAUAUGUCAUUUGAUGAUUCUUCUGAUACAAAAUUUAACUUAAUUACUUAUUUUGUUGAAUAUAUAGUUACAUAAAUAAUAUAAAAUAAGCUAAUUAAAUUCAUAAAAUAAAACAACAUAUUCAAAUUUUAAGCGAAGAAGUUAUUAUUAAAAAGAUCAAAAUAAAAUUAAAAUUUUUAAGAGUCAGGUAGU
rnacentral:lncRNA from 1 species